rnacentral:rRNA from 1 species
AUUGAACGCUGGCGGCAGGCCUAACACAUGCAAGUCGAGCGGAUGAAGGGAGCUUGCUCCUGGAUUCAGCGGCGGACGGGUGAGUAAUGCCUAGGAAUCUGCCUGGUAGUGGGGGAUAACGUCCGGAAACGGGCGCUAAUACCGCAUACGUCCUGAGGGAGAAAGUGGGGGAUCUUCGGACCUCACGCUAUCAGAUGAGCCUAGGUCGGAUUAGCUAGUUGGUGGGGUAAAGGCCUACCAAGGCGACGAUCCGUAACUGGUCUGAGAGGAUGAUCAGUCACACUGGAACUGAGACACGGUCCAGACUCCUACGGGAGGCAGCAGUGGGGAAUAUUGGGCAAUGGGCGAAAGCCUGAUGCAGCCAUGCCGCGUGUGUGAAGAAGGUCUUCGGAUCGUAAAGCACUGUAAGUAGGGAGGAAGGGCAGUAAGUUAAUACCCUGCUGUUUUGACGUUACCAACAGAAUAAGCACCGGCUAACUUCGUG